UGCAUAGCUCUGCCCUGCACCAAAUAAACUCUGGGGGACCUGACCUUGUAAUAUACCUUUUCCCCAGCUUUUUAUGCCAUGGACUGACCUGACCUGAUGACAAGACAAACCUGCGUUCCUCUGGGUUACCAAGAGGCUCAAACCCCUUCCAGGAUGCAAUGCACCAAAAUACUGGCUGGCACCAUCAGCAGGAUGUUACCAUGCAACUGUUUGGUGCCCAGUCUGACAGAGGUACCCCUGCUGGCCUCCCAUUGAUGGGGAUACCAAUCCUCUUGUAGCCUGGGAAAUCUGUGGGCAGCUUCUGAAGACAGUCUCCAUCUUAAGAACCACCCAGAAGUUUGGAAGAUCUUGUGUUUGAACUGUGAUCCCUGAGGUGAGAUCAAGCUUCAUGCUAAGAGUUGGCCUCCAUUUGAUGUGAAUACUGAGAAGCUGCUGCAGGCUACCACUGAUUGGAAUUUACUUGUAUUAGUCUAAUUGCGUGCUCUGCCAUCAUCUGUUUGCAAUCACAAAGAGGAAGCUUCUGAAGCUUGGGAAUGAGGGAAAAUGAAGUGUCUUAACAACUACAAAACAUUGAGAAUGCUUUUGGAGGCUUUCCCAUCAGUUUCCAUCGGAUCCUCUGCUCUGAAGAGAAUAUCAUUGAGGAGCAGUUUGAGAUAAGCACAGGGACCAGAAGAGUAUAAAGAGCUCCUGAUGGCUGUCAGAACAGUAACAGUAGCACUUGGCCUAGAAGACAAGCUGCCUUCCAGCCACAAUCCCUCACCAUGGCUGAAGCAGCGGUGACCUCCACAGAUGGCAGCCAGCAGCAGAACCACAGUGGGACCUGCAGCGAUACAAGGGCUGGCACUUUGGAUUGCAACAUGACUGAAAGGAAAAGCGUGAAGGCUACAGGAAUUUCUGCUCUAUGGAAAAAUGUUAUUUUUGGAGUCUUCGGGAAGGCGUGCAUAUAAACCCCCGGUUCCCUGGUAUCUGCUCCAGUCAGUGCUCCAUCCUCUUGUUCUCAUCCCACAUUGUGCCUGGAUAGCCUGACGGGCCAUAGGAAGCCUUCUGCUGUUUCCAGACAUCGGGACAGUUUUGCAUCCCUGUGCCAGGUCUGUGCCCAUGUACUGGCAGCUGGGGUGGCUGCCCAGCAGGGAGACAUCCUGCUGGCACCCAGGCUGCCUUAGGGAAGAAGCUGCUGCUUCUGAUCAUCUCUGAGAUGUUGGAGCCAGCAGUUUCCUGGACAGAGAUGUCUUCUCAGCACUGUUCAAGGAGUCUCAGAGGCUGCACCAUCCUUGCACUGGCUGAACAUGACUUCUCCUCCCCAUCCACUUCAUCUUGCACCAGUACCUGCUUGUGAGAACCCUGGGAGCCAGCCAUGGUGCUCACAUUGGAUCAUAAUGGGCCACAAGGAGCUGGAAUGGGUGGCACUGGAGGGGGAAAUCAGGGCUUCUCCAUCACAUACCUGUGCCCGCAGAGAUGGUCGGCAUUCCAUGAAAGCUCCAUUGUUCUUCAUGCCAUGCUACACGCACUAUGAUUAUAUAGUGUUGGAUAAGCAGUAAGACGUUGAAAUAAUAACCUAUCCUUAGUUUAAACAGUGCUAUAUUUAUGUGUAUUUAAAUGUGGGUAAUUGCACAUUUGUGACAUACUGUAAUUUGGCUGGGAGUCUGUAAAUAUGAUAUUGGAAAGAAAAGCGUCAGCUGCAUUUAAGGGGUAAAUGCUGGGGUCAUGCAGGGCAUAUUGAUCAAUGUGGAUAUUAAACAAGCUUUGGAACUUCUCUGGAGCAGCCUAGGGAUGGGCAGGGAUCCUGCCUGGGUCCAAGAUCCAGGAAAUCCUAAUUCCUGCUUCCAUGUCUGAGAAUCUUUAUUUUCAGCCCUUCCAUGACUUUCAACUUAACUUGUGUUCAUUCCCUAAUGCAAAAAGAAGCUAUUAGGAUCUUCCUAACACAGUGAGACAUCAGCUGACUUUUGUAAAUAGCUCUAAAUGGUGAUAAUGGUGAUGUAGGUGCAAACUGUAGCUGCUCUGCAGGUCAGUGAGAGCACAGGGCCAUGACGAACAUCAUUUCCACCCAAAGUGAGCCAGUGCCCAAAUAACAUCACCUGGUUUUACUGCAGAAAGGGCAAGGGAAAAGGAGCUUUGGUCAGUUAAGGGCAGAAGUAACCCUGAAGUCAAAGACCUAUGGAUGUGUUACCUUCAUGUUGGUGCAAACACCACUGGGUCCCACAUACAGGUUUUAAAUGGGGUAUUUUGCCAUCCCU